CGGCCUAUCAGGUAGUAGGUGGGGUAACGGCCCACCUAGCCUACGACGGGUACGGGCCCUGAGAGGGGGAGCCCGGAGAUGGGCACUGAGACAAGGGUCUAGGCCCUAAGGGGCGCAGCAGGCGCGAAGAUUCCGCAAUGCCCGAAAGGGCGACGGAGUGAACCCGAGUGCCACCCGCUGAGGGUGGCUGUUCCCCUGUGUAAAAAGCAGGGGGCAGGAAGGGGAGGGCAAGGCUGGUGGCAGCCGCCGCGGUAAAACCAGCUCCCCGAGGGGUUCCCACGCAUACUGGGCCUAAAGCGUCCGUAGCCGGCCCUAUAAGUCCGCAGUUAAAUCCGCCUGUAGACAGGCGGGCUGCUGCGGAUACUACAGGGCUAGGGAGCGGGAGGAGCCGGGGGUAUUCCCGGGGGAGCGGUAAAAUGCGUAGAUCCCGGGAGGACCACCAGUGGCGAAGGCGCCCGGCUUGAACGCGUCCGGCGGUGAGGGACGAAAGCUGGGGGAGCAAACCGGAUUAGAUACCCGGGUAGUCCCAGCCGUAAACGAUGCCGGCUAGGUGCUGGCCAAGGUUUCGACCUUGGCCAGUGUCGAAGCGAAGGCAUUAAGCCGGCCGCCUGAGGAGUACGGCCGCAAGGCUGAAACUUGAAGGAAUUGACGGGGGGGCACCACAAGGGGUGAAUGCCUGCGGCUUAAUUGGACUCAACGCCGGGAAUCUUACCGGGGGCGACAGCAGGAUGAAGGUCAGGCUGAAGACCUUACCAGACGCGCUGAGGGGUGGUGCAUGGCCGUCGCCAGCUCGUGCCGUGAGGUGUCCUGUUAAGUCAGGCAACGAGCGAGACCCCCGCCCCUAGUUGCCAGCGGCCUCCUUCGGGAGGGACCGGGCAAACUAGGGGGACCGCCCCCGAAGAGGAGGAGGAAGGCGGGGGCUACGGCAGGUCAGUAUGCCCCUAAUCCCCCGGGCCGCACGCGGGCU
rnacentral:rRNA from 1 species